AACUGAUAAUGGCAAACUUAUUGAAAAAUAAGGACGCAAAGCUAUGGGUCUAAGGUUCACUAUUGAACUAGGAUCGCCAAGCCUCCAAA
rnacentral:ncRNA from 1 species